GACGAACGCUGGCGGCGUGCUUAACACAUGCAAGUCGAACGGAAAGGCCCUGCUUUUGUGGGGUGCUCGAGUGGCGAACGGGUGAGUAACACGUGAGUAACCUGCCCUUGACUUUGGGAUAACUUCAGGAAACUGGGGCUAAUACCGGAUAGGAGCUCCUGCUGCAUGGUGGGGGUUGGAAAGUUUCGGCGGUUGGGGAUGGACUCGCGGCUUAUCAGCUUGUUGGUGGGGUAGUGGCUUACCAAGGCUUUGACGGGUAGCCGGCCUGAGAGGGUGACCGGCCACAUUGGGCCUGGGAUACGGCCCAGACUCCUACGGGAGGCAGCAGUGGGGAAGAGUGCACAAUGGGCGGAAGCCUGAUGCAGCAACGCCGCGUGCGGGAUGACGGCCUUCGGGUUGUAAUCCGCUUUCGCCUGUGACGAAGCGUGAGUGACGGUAAUGGGUAAAGAAGCACCGGCUAACUACGUG
rnacentral:rRNA from 1 species